rnacentral:tRNA from 1 species
GCCCGGAUGGCGGAACUGGUAGACGCACGGGACUUAAAAUCCCGAGGCUCAGGCCGUGUGGGUUCGAGUCCCACUCCGGGCACCA